rnacentral:lncRNA from 1 species
GUCCAUCUGAUGAGUUAAGCCUUUUUCAACUGAUUUUUAUAGUUCGUUCUUAUGUUGUACUGUUAUACCACUGUCCCAGGUUAGGGGAGGGUUAGGAUCCCGCUAACAUGUUUAACCCCGCUACAUUAUUUAUGUAUGUGCCUGUCCCAAGUCAGGAGCCUGUAAUUCAGUGGUUGUCGUUUGUUUAUGUGUUACAUAUUUGUUUUUCGUUCAUUUUUUUACAUAAAUAAGGCCGUUACUUUUCUCGUUUGAAUUGUUUUACAUUGUUUUAUCGGGGCCUUUUAUAUCUGACUAUGCGGUAAAGGCUUUGCUCAUUGUUGAAGGCCGUACGGUGAUCUAUAGUUGUUAAUGUCUGUUUCAUUUUGGUCUUUUGUGGAUAGUUGUCUCAUUGGCAAUCAUACCACAUCUUCUUUAUUAUAUCGACAGGUCAAAUCAAAUUGAAUUAUGUCGGUGAUAGUUCAGUGAAAAAGUUGAAAACAAUUAUCAUUCUAUCGUUAUUCUUGUCAGUAUGGG